rnacentral:rRNA from 1 species
CCUACGGGUGGCAGCAGUGGGGAAUAUUGGGCAAUGGGCGCAAGCCUGACCCAGCAACGCCGCGUGAAGGAAGACGGCUUUCGGGUUGUAAACUUCUUUUAAGAGGGAAGAAAGAGAAAUUUGACGGUACCUGAAGAAUAAGCUCCGGCUAACUACGUGCCAGCAGCCGCGGUCAUACGUAGGGAGCGAGCGUUAUCCGGAAUUAUUGGGCGAAAAGGGUGCGUAGAUGGCAUAGUAAGUCUUUUGGAAAAAUGCUGGGCUCAACCCAGUAGGGCAAAAGAUACUGCAAAGCUAGAGUAUGACAGAGGCAAGUGGAACUACAGGUGUAGCGGUAAAAUGCGUAAAGAUAUGUAAGAACACCAGUGGCGAAGGCGGCUUGCUGAGUCGAUACUGACAUUGAGGCACGAAAGCGUGGGGAUCGAACAGGAUUAGAUACCCGUGUAGUC